CAAACAUUUCAAGUGCCUCAACUUCUGCAGCCUCAUUGAAUGGAUGCUUCACAAAAUUAUGUAUGUUGCAACAAUAUCUCAGGCCAAGGUUUUCAUAUUCCAAGGAACUUCUUGGAUAAAGCUGAGAAUACAAAGCACAAAGGGUAUUUAAAAAAAAAGAUCUUUAAAAGUAAUCAAAUGCACUUUAUACAAAGUAGUUUUUCUGGUGAAGUAAUAGGAGGCAAUGUAUGGCGCACACUUCAUCGGCAAGCUCAAAAUAAUGGCUCUCUCUGAACAAAGAUCUAAUCAAAUCAACUUCUCCCAACCAACAUCUUUUUGUUACAUACUGAAUAUAGUUUAGCGCUUGACCCAAGUUUUUUUAUUCUGCUACUUCAUGUUCUUGCUAGGUGUGGACUUUCUGCUGAGCUUUCUCUCAUCAAAGUGCACAGAUAACCCCAAGUGAUUCAUCACUUGACGCUGUCCUCGUGAGAUGGUUGAUAUCGGGUUACUGCCUUAAAGAGCAACUAAAGCAUUUCAAAGCAAAUGUAAUAAAAUCCCAGACUUCAUGUUUAGUCGGUUCGGUUCGGGUUCAGUUCGGGUUUAGUUAUAUAUCCAAGAUCCGGUUGAAUCCGAUAUAGUUUCAGUUUUGGAUAUUAAUCGGGUUAUCAGUUCAAAAACUAUUGAUUUGUACAUGCCUUCCUCAAACGAGAUUAUUUUCUUUGAAAAUAACUUUGGGAGGCUCGUUUGUCAACCAUAUGAAACUCUCCUUUGAAUUA